UUCCUCUCAGGGUUGCACCUGGAGAGUUUCCAGUACUCUACCAGUCUUGACUAUGGGAGGCAGAGAGAAACAGAGGCCAACCCAUUCCAUUCCUUGCUUGGGCAGUGGCUAGUGAGUGGAAAACAAUCUGCUACAAGU